UUGCCAUACAUAGACUUUAUUGUGUUGAUAAACAAGAAAGUUCAUGUAUGGCAA
ensembl:miRNA